AGUGGCAAAGUCUUUCCAUAU
rnacentral:miRNA from 1 species